rnacentral:rRNA from 1 species
GAUGAACGCUAGCGGCAGGCUUAAUACAUGCAAGUCGAGGGGCAGCAGGGGUAGCAAUACUCGCUGGCGACCGGCAAACGGGUGCGGAACACGUACAGAACCUUCCUUUAAGCGGGGAAUAGCCCAGAGAAAUUUGGAUUAAUACCCCAUAGUAUAUUUUGGUUGGCAUCAUUAGAAUAUUAAAGAUUUAUCACUUAAAGAUGGCUGUGCGUAUGAUUAGGUAGUUGGUGCAGGUAACGGCUCACCAAGCCUACGAUCAUUAACUGGUGUGAGAGCACGACCAGUCACACGGGCACUGAGACACGGGCCCGGACUCCUACGGGAGGCAGCAGUAAGGAAUAUUGGUCAAUGGACGAAAGUCUGAACCAGCCAUGCCGCGUGAAGGAUGAAGGCCCUCUGGGUUGUAAAC